rnacentral:rRNA from 1 species
UACGUAGAGUGCGAGCGUUGUCCGGAAUUACUGGGCGUAAAGAGCUCGUAGGUGGUUUGUCGCGUUGUUCGUGAAAACUCACAGCUUUACUGUGGGCGUGCGGGCGAUACGGGCAGACUGGAGUACUGCAGGGGAGACUGGAAUUCCUGGUGUAGCGGUGGAAUGCGCAGAUAUCAGGAGGAACACCGGUGGCGAAGGCGGGUCUCUGGGCAGUAACUGACGCUGAGGAGCGAAAGCGUGGGGAGCGAACAGG